rnacentral:rRNA from 1 species
UACGUAGGGGGCAAGCGUUGUCCGGAAUCAUUGGGCGUAAAGCGCGUGUAGGCGGCCCGGUAAGUCCGCUGUGAAAGUCGGGGGCUCAACCCUCGAAUGCCGGUGGAUACUGUCGGGCUAGAGUACGGAAGAGGCGAGUGGAAUUCCUGGUGUAGCGGUGAAAUGCGCAGAUAUCAGGAGGAACACCAAUUGCGAAGGCAGCUCGCUGGGACGUCACUGACGCUGAGACGCGAAAGCGUGGGGAGCGAACAGG